rnacentral:lncRNA from 1 species
UUCGCGUCUGUCCCGCCCCCUGCGUGCGUCCUUUACGUAACCACGCCCCCGAAGCUCUCUGGCCCGCCUAGGCAAAACCACGAUGGGGUCAGCGCAGAGCCUCGCCCCGUUCCCGUAGUAACGGUCUCCGGAACGGAAAUGGCCACCUAGAGAUUUGUCGGACAGUGCCGGGUCUGGGCCGCUAGUUCCCAACUCAUAAGGCAUUGCAGCCCGAUAGACCCGAUGUUUCAUGGAACAAUCAUAGAAGAGCUAACCAAUCACAGAGAAUGGAGUCACUAUAAUGAAAAUAUAAUAGAAGAUCAAAAAGAUUUUGUUUUUGUGAAGUUCAGUGGCCUUCAUUUAAAAUCUAUGGAAAAUCUUCAAUCUUGUAUCUCUCUUAGAGUAUGCAUCUUCUCAAACAAUUUUAUUACAGAUAUUCGUCCACUUCAGAGUUGCAUGAAAUUAAUCAAACUUGAUCUCCAUGGAAAUCAGAUAAAGAGUCUACCAGGUACCAAAUUUUGGAGUGGAUUGAAGAAUCUAAAACUUCUCUAUCUACAUGACAAUGGGUUUGCAAAGUUAAAGAACGUAUGUAUGUUAUCUGCCUGUCCGAGCCUCAUUGCCCUCACUAUGUUUGAUUGUCCAGUAAGCCUUAAAAAAGGAUAUAGACAUGUUCUUGUCAACAGUAUAUGGACUCUCAAAGCAUUGGAUCAUCAUGUGAUUUCUGAUGAAGAAAUAAUUCAAAACUGGCAUCUUCCUGAAAGAUUCAAGACAUGUAACCACCGACUUCUCUUUAAUUUCUGCUCUGCUUUGAAAAAGGGAUCAACCUAUGAAGAUGAAAUUGAUAAUAUCAAACACAUUAUUUCAAAAGUUAAUGAAAUUCUGGCUCAUAACUCACCAGUUUUGAUUAUUCAAAGAUGGACACGUGGUUUCUUAGUUAGGAAAAAAGUGAGCCACUUGUUCUUGUAUAAAAAACGUGAAAAAUCUAUUAGUGAAUGUGAAAAAAGAUGGAUUUACAAGCACAAAGGAUUUGAUGAUAAACUCUUUAAGGAACUCUUUUUUCAGCCUGGAACUAAUAUAGCAGAAAAGUUUGCACGCUGGAAAUAUAGUAUAUAUUCUCCUGUUGAUUUAAAAUAUUCUACUGAACAGAGAAAACAUGUCUCUUCUAUUUUAUAUGAAUUAAAAACAAGAAAACCAAGAUAUCUCAUUCAAAAAGGUCAGAAAAAGUCUGAAGAUGAAACUGAGGAUGAAGAAUUGGAUGUCAAUUUUAGGAUAUCAGUGUUCAAAUUACCCAUACAUACUUUAGAUUCAUUGAGAUACGCUGCACCAUUGAGAGCAAAAGAACAAGAUUAUUUUCCUAUGUAUGCCCAGCCAUUUUCUCCUGCUCAUCAAAAACCAAUAGUUAAAAUAAAAGAUGUGCCGAUGGAAAAGAAAAUAAGAAGAGAGUUUUUGGCAACACACAGAGCUGGUAUGAAACUCCAAGCACUUUGUGAUGUUGAUAAAUAUUUCUCAGAACAAAAGAAGCAGGAAAGCAGUAAAAAUAAAGUAACAGCUGUGAGCAUGGCACAAAUAGCCCAAGAACGAAGUAGAAUAACUAUUAGAGAAAAUUCAAAUAAUAAAAUACAUGCUACACAUAAACUGACUGCAAGAGAUGAUGAGAUAAUUCAGGAUGGUUUACAACAACUUUAUCAGGAUAGAUCCAGCUACCUUGAGAAAGUUAAAGAGAGACGAGCUCAGUUCCUGAAAGAAAAAAAACAAAAGGCUAAAGACCGUUUAUUAAUUCAGAACCUAAAUAAUGAGCGCACUCUUUUGACCAAAGGAAUGACUGCAAUUGACAGACUGAAGAAUAAGCAGGCUGCCUUGAAAGAGAAAAGUCUGAUUGUUCAGCAAAAACUGGCAACCGAAAAGUACCAAAGGGAUUUACAUAAACAAAUGAAGGAAAUUAGGGCUCAAGAAAUACAUAAAAGACACUAUGAAGAAAAGUUUGUUAAUGAUAUGAUUGCCUUUGAGAAAGCUUGUGAAAGACUUCAAGAUGCUAGAACAAAAGCUGCAAUUGUGAAAAAGAAGUUAGUCACUAAGGUUCCUGAUGGAAUGAUAAAGUGA